AUUUUGGAAACCUACCUACAGUUCUUAAUGUGUUCUGAAGAAGAAACAUGAAGGUAUCUUCAGACACAGAGGAUUCCAACUCAUGCCAUGUGUCAGCAAGACGGAACUGGAGAGGAGGAAGAAACUGCAUUCCAGAAUUAACGAAUGACAG